GACGUAGGGGGCAAGCGUUGUCCGGAAUUAUUGGGCGUAAAGCGCUCGUAGGUGGAUUUGCAAGUCUGCAAGGAAAGACCCGGGCUCAACUCGGGAACCCGUGUGGAUACUGCAAACCUUGAGGUAGUCAGAGGAUGAUGGAAUUCCCGGUGUAGCGGUGAAAAUGCGUAGAUAUCGGGAGGAACACCAGUGGCGAAGGCGAUCAUCUGGGGCUAACCUGACACUGAGGAGCGAAAGCUAGGGGAGCAAACGGGAGUUA
rnacentral:rRNA from 1 species